GUUUUAUUGCCUGGGCCACAUUGACUGGGGAGGAAUCGUCUUGGGCUGCCAACGAAAUAUAUAAUGUAGCUCAUUUCUAUUACUUGGAUAGAUAGCAUUGUUUUUCUUUCCAAAGCACAUCAAAGAGUCCAAAUUUUGGCAGGCUCUCUGUUUUCUUUUAAAAAGGAGAAAAAGAAAGAAAAACAUCAGUACAACAAAGCUAAGAAUAACUGUUCCCUUCUGAAGAGCUGUGUUUCUUCACUUUGAGAUUCACAGUCAUGGUGCUCACUUCAGGGAGCUGCUGAAACAGAAAGCCUGGAGGUGGGGAGAAAUGGAAAGAUCAGAGAACUGGCACAGGAUAAACAGCCUCUUGCCUCUUGAUGUUGAGGAUGAAUCUAACCAAAGUCAGUCAAGAAACAAAGUCACCGUUACUGCUAAGCACUUUCGUGGGCUAUGCAAGUUGAGGCUGUAGUCCCUUACUACUCCCAGUGGACAGGUUUCCUUAUAACUGCCGCUAGUAUUUCAUCGAUAGCGUUGGGGACAGUUUUAGUCUUUAGUUUGUAUUUCAGUUUUGUAGUUGAAUAAAUUUUAUACACUACCUAAACUUGGGGGCCUUUUCCUUGCAAGACAAACAGCUACAGGAUGUAUAUACCUUCAUUUGCUGGAAAAAAGCUACUUUGAGUAGCUCCCCACUCUGUUGAACUUUUGGGAGAAGUAGACUGGUUGUGCUCCAGAAAGUCUUCAGUCUUAAGCAUCUUAUGGCCCCCAGAUCAUUUUUCUUGAUUUCCUGUCUCCUUCUCAGCCAGUAGCUGUAAUUUACUCAGCACAGACCAGUACUGUAGCCUGUAUUCUUUGUAAAAUAUCAAGCUCAGAAUGAAUAAAUGGCAUCAGAAAAACACAACAGAAGUACAACCAUCUCUUAUUCUGUGUGAAGCUUUUCUCUCUGUUUUCUGCAAAACCAGUGUUUGUUGGUUUUAGAAACAGAUUAUUGUAAGGCUUGAAAGUCUCCUCACAGAUUAGAGAAAUCUGAUCCAGAUAGUGGAGAGUGGUAGAGUUCCCACAGCUUCCUGAGCAGAGGUGCUUUGCUCUGUGUUGGAAAUAAGAUACAAGGAAAGAAUAGGAGAAGAAAUUACUCUGGAGGUAGUCUAAGGAAGAUGCCAGGACUGACUACUGUAUUAGACAAUUGUGCCACAGAACUGAAGUGUGCAACCCUUCCCCACAAUGACCAGGUUCUGGGGCAAGACUUCUUUUGACUUUAAUGGGACCUUUAACAAGACUUUUGCUAUCUAACAGCUGAUAUAUGUACUGGUAAAGAACACAACAAUGUCACAGGAACUGUCACUGAACGGUACUUCAACAAGAAGGUAGGGAAUAGAAUCAUAAAAUUCAUAGGUGUAAAGGUAUGGAGCUGCACCCCCCUGCAGUUCAUGCUGUCCCCACGCUUCAGGCUUUCAGGAAUAUGGCCAGUUGAUACUAAAUCCACGGUGCUUCUCAGCCCAGAGGGAUAAAUAAAAAGCGCAUCACAUAUCUAACUUGUAAAUGGCUGAGGUAAAGAAUAUGUCCUCGGGAUAAAGAUGACAAGGUUCAUUGCUAGCACAAGUCAGACAAUAUGUGAAGUUAGGCUGUGCCCUAUUGCUCAGUACAAUUAUAUGACCUUAUAACAAAGCAUGGUCAAGAUGGCAGUGAUACUGCAUAUAAAGCAGCCUGUUGGAAAGUUGCUAUUCUUCAAACUCGCUUGCAUCUAGACAUCUUUCAAGUGAUUUCAGAAUUUAGGGUGAAAGUGGAUCUUAGGCCUUUUUUAAAAAGCCAUUUCAAAUCCUCAUUCAUAUCAUAAAUGCUUUUUUCUCCUUUUUUCUGCAGGCCACUUAAAUCUCUGAGGCCAUGACAUUGUCUGGCACUGAAUGCAGCCCCUUUUUAUCAUUAUAAAGAAAUAAUGAAAGCAUAUGGUGGAGAGGCACUCAUAUUUCAGUGUAUGGUGCCUUCCUCAUUCUCCAUAACUAAGCACUGAAGAAUAUAUAGUAUGAUGAGAACAUUAAUUAUUCCAAUAUACUAACAGAAAAUUCCUAACAAUUCAGUCAUCCCUUCUGCCGAGCAUGAAUGUAAGUUCAAAGUGAAAGAAACCAAAUAUAUUUCCACUUUUGCACAUUAAACAUCAGCAAGCGACCUGUAUUUUAUUACAGUACACAGCUGUUUUAUCACAAAAGUAAAUAAAUCACCGUUGAACCAACUUUGGGAACGGAGAUUUUGAAUAAUAACACAAUUAACUUUUCCCACAAAGUCCAAAUAGCCCACUUGCUCAUAGUUGCUACAAGCUGUGAUUCCCACGUGAAAGAUAUCAACUUAUUUCCUUUUCCUGUCAAUCAUCGGUACCAAGUGGGGCCAUGGUAUGUCAGGUCAUGACCUUUCACUCUGGGCAUGAGCCUGAAAGCCACUAGUGAAUCAACUAGUUUAAUUAUUUAGGCUGUUUCUAAUAAAUAUAAAAAUGUGGCCUUAAAUAUUUCACAUGCUUGUUCAGUUUGGGUUUUCAAGUGCCUCUUAUCAAGGCCACCAGCCUGAAAGUGUGCUCUUAUUGGUAGGAAAUCAGUCAAUUAAUAACCAAAUCCAGCUUUUGGAAUAAGGUUUUGAUUGUUGAUUUUGAGCUUCCUGGCUUGGGUAUCACUUGCUCUUUGGCGUAGACGACAAGAUUUCCAUUAUCUUUCUGUUGUUGUUGUUGUUGUUUUACAUACAAUUAGACUGUUUUAAGCAUUACCAGAAAAGGUUUAUUUUCCUACCUCCCACAAAGCGGUCCUUUAAUACAAAUGCUACUGUAGGAUGCAUACUUUUCCGUAUAUACUUCAUACAUCUUCUUCAACUAAGGAGAAAAAAAGACAAGAAAUCCAAUGCAGUAAACUUCUUAUGAUACAGUUCUUCUAAAAAUAUUUUUGAGUGAUGUUGACAGCAUUUGAUUGCAUUUCUGGUCAAAGUGUGAUGACAACCCUCCUUUGCUAAAAAUCCCAGGUUUUUUCAGCUUGUAACUCCCAAGUCUAAAAUCCUAAGCUUGAACCAAGUUGCUGACUUCAACUAUCAUUUAGCACUCCUACAGGAGGAUUGUGCACGAACUCUACAGGCAUUUACGUAGAAAAAAAUGCUUUUUUGUGGAUAGCAAGCAAUGCUCUAGAAGCAUUUAUGCUCUCUGCAUAACAAGCUUUCCAGCUGGUCAUCUCAGGACAGAAUCAAACUUGAGAAAUGAAUUGAUGAUGCCUUUUGAAAGACUAAGCCCCUAAACUUUGACUGCCAGAGCCAUUUCUCUCCUUGGAACACUCCUGAAAUGUGCAGAACUUUCCCCAGAUUUCAUAGGAUUAUUUUGUUCUUCCUUCGCCUAGUGCUCUAAGAAUACUCAGGAAAGUGAGUGUGAAGGACUGUCUAUUUAUAGAUGAUAAACCUGGCUCUUAUCCUUCUCCCUUCUCUUCACCCCACACUCCUGCAUCAAAGAGAGGGCUUGGAGAAAGGAAAGAGAGCUGCUCCUGCUGUCACUUUUCCAUUCACCCUCAUGAGCUGCUGAAGAGGAAGGCUGCUUGUUCUGAAAUACCAGCAUUUCGAAAUUUGCUUUCUCCUGAACCAAUGGAAGAAUAUAAAGGACAAACUGUA
ensembl:lncRNA